rnacentral:RNase_P_RNA from 1 species
CGAGUAUUUUGGAUAAUCGCGUGUAAACGAGGAAAGUCCGUGCACCAUAGAGCGGGAUGCUGGAUAAUACCCAGUGGGGGCGACCCUAAGGACAGUGCAACAGAGAGAUACCGCCUGUAUACAGGUAAGGGUGGAAAGGUAAGGUAAGAGCUUACCGGCGCAAUGGCGACUUUGCGGCCAUGUAAACCCCAUCCGGUGCAAGAUCAAGAGCGGAUCAUAAAAAGUAGGCUGCUCGUCUGCGAUCCUAAAGGUAGAUUGCUAAAGCUUACUGGCAACUUUAAGCGUAGAUAGAUGAUUAUCAUAACAGAACACGGCUUACAAAAAUACUCGAAUU